AGCAGUCGCGGUAAUUCCAGCUCCAAUAGCGUAUAUUAAAGUUGUUGCAGUUAAAAAGCUCGUAGUUGAAUUUCGGGAUCAGAUUGUCGGUCGUGCCUCGGUACGCACUGGCAUUAUUGGUUCCUACCUUCUGAAGAACCGCGAUGUCAUUAAUUUGGUGUCGUGGGGAAUCAGGACUGUUACUUUGAAAAAUUAGAGUGUUUAAAGCAGGCGCACGCUUGAAUACAUUAGUAUGGAAUAAUGAAAUAGGACGUUUGAUUCUAUUUUGUUGGUUUCUAGGAUCGACGUAAUGAUUAAUAGGGAUAG
rnacentral:rRNA from 1 species